AUGCUCAAAUCGUAUCGGUGUUCGUAUCGUGACUCUGGCUGGAUUCCCCUGCUUCCGGGACCCACCCCUGCUACACGUGGCGCCCGAACGGCAGGGACCCGAGUGAGUUUUGCUUCAGGCAGGUUCGCUUCAAUGCGGUAUUGAGACAUCUGAGGACACCAAGUUUCCCCAGACAUCAUGAAUCUCAGCUUAAAUUUCACUACAGUCUGGAGCAGCCAGCUCUGUUUUAGAAAGGAAGAGCAGUAUUUGCACCUAACACAUACAACUGCAAAGAAGAAAUGUUUUUAGGGCUAUUCCUGGGAGAAAUGAUGUUAGGAGAGAGUUGAAGGAGAGAUAAUACAGUUUUAUGAUAUGCAGAAAGCCUAGAUUUUUACCAAGACUGUCUUUUCAAAUCUAUUUCACAGAGGCUUUAGGCAUGAGCCUGUCUCCCUACACAACAGAAAAUGUGUGAAAUAAAAGGUAAUUUCUUUUAGCUUGCCAGUCUAACAGCAGCAACGACCAUUUUUUCUUUGUCUCUCUUUCAAAUAAAAGCAAGAGUCAGGCAAAAAGACAGAGAUCAGUUCCAUUGCCUGUUUUUUUAAUCUGCAGCCUUUUCUUCAAACCUCUUUCCUGUUGAAUGUUUAAAAGCUUCUUAAAAUUAUGUAUAUAUGUCUCUCUACAUUAGAAAUCCUUACCUACAGUAAUGAACAGGCAAAUGAAUAAUAUUUUAUAAAUAAAAUCAGCUGAUCUAAUUGUGCUGCCUCACAGUCAAACACUCCUAACUCUGUGCUGCACAGGGAGUGUUAAACAUGCUCAUGCUCUCUUUGGGAAACAUGCACUGAUCUUGUAGGGAAACAGACUUAAAAAAUGUUCCCACUAAUUCAGUAGUUGCUUUUUCUUAUCAUCAGAUUUAGGGAGAAUCCCACUAUUUAAAGAACAUCUAAACCAAACCCAAUAAAAAGCUGUUUCCCUUCAGCUGCAGUCAUUUUUCUCUUCACAGGCUUAGAUAAAACCACAUAUGCAAGACAUAUUAAAGGAACCAGCAAAUUCAGUCUAGUGACUAAGUGACAUCAAUGAUUAUUUGAAUGAUUCUGACAUCAGAGAUAAUUUUCUCAGAGAAAAAUAAGAUCAAGGUUAAAUAAUUUCAGAAAGAGGACAGGAGUCCUGAUUUAAAUUUUACAACAAACUUCCCAGCUUUAUUGUCUCAUGGUUUGCUGCUCUCUAACCUAAAAAUAGCAAUUAAAUCCAAUCUGUCUGGUGGGAUGCUAUGCUGCUGCCUUUUCAAAAGCCAUGGGGAAAAAUAUUUUGGGAUGUUAAUCUAAUUAUCUGGUGGGAACACCUUAGGCAGUGUGGUUAAAAAGAGGAAAACAUAGCAGAAGAUGCAAUACAAUUGCACCACUGUUCACAGAUGUUUUCUACCUGUCUAGGCCAAAUUAAUCGGUCAUCCCUCCUUCCACAGCUCUGCGAUGGUUCAGAUUUUGACUAAUUUCCCUAACUACAACUAUAAAAGAAACACAACAGAGUAAGAAGGAAACAAAAAAUUAUAUAAUUUUAUAAUAAAAUUGCAUUUGUCUGAGAUUCAAAAAAAUGGCAGAUGGACACUUUGCAUUCAGAGCAACUUGGCCUUGGAAAUGCAACUAAGUCACAAAGUUUGUAGACUGCAAGAGUCCCUAUAUACUGCUUAAAGGAGAUAAAUAAAGCUGAGAAGUACAUUUCUAUUAGCAGUUAUGAGACGUAACUCUCCCUUCUGAUUAUCUGUUACUUAUUCCUUGUGCUGCAGUGCUUUGAGGCCUCUUUUUCCGUAACUCCCUAAAGAGUUCCAAUAAUUUUCCCGGUUUCAGGAUUCCCUAAAGUGAAAUUCGCAAAAUCCAUGCCUCUCAAAGCCUGAAUUAGUUUAGAUCUUCUCCCUAAAAUAAAGACUGUAGAGCAUACUUCUGUGAGCUGAAGUUCUCAUGAAAAUAUUAAAUUUUAGUUAUUUGUAUAGCUUAAAAGAAAAGAUCAAACAUUUUCCAAACCUUAAAUAUACAGAUUUUCAGUACCAGUUAUUGAAAAGCUUAUAAAGACUCAAAGGAAGUUUGAACCUUUAUAUGAAAGUU
rnacentral:lncRNA from 13 species